rnacentral:rRNA from 1 species
UGCGUAUGCGGGCUAAUAAGUCAGUGGUGAAAUCUCUCGGCUCAACCGGGAAACUGCCAUUGAUACUGUUAGUCUUGAGUUCGGUUGAGGUAGGCGGAAUGUGUAAUGUAGCGGCGAAAUGCUUAGAUAUUACACAGAACACCAAUUGCGUAGGCAGCUUACUAGACCGACACUGACGCUGAGGCACGAAAGCGUGGGGAGCGAACAGGAUUAGAUACCCUGGUAGUC